UUCAUUUCGAAAAGAUCCCUCAACUUCGUACUUUUUGAUUGAGACUCCUUGACUUCCUAAUUCACUUAUAAUUUUAUCAAAUUUUAUGAUUUUAAUCACUUUUUAGUGAAUGAAGCUGAAAUAAUUAAUGAUUAAUCGCUAAUUUAACCACAAAUUUUACCAAGACUUUUAACUUAAAGUAACUAGAAUAAUUUAGUUCCAAAAAUUUGAAAGUUAAAGGGCUUCUCAAUCCAAAAAAGAAUAAAAAUUGAGGGGUCAUUUUAGAAUCGCCUAUAGUACGUGGAGGUUUCCAUACAUUUUUACCAUAAGAAUGAGAUAUAUCAUGUACUCGGAAUAGGUCUAUGAGUGCACCUCAUCAUCUCACGGUGGUAUUGUAUAAGGCAACUUGCGUGACUUGUUAUAACAUGGCACCUUGGGUGUCAAACAGUUUGAAAUUGCAUGUAAUACUCCUUGCAGAAAUGCAACAUUGCAUAUAUAUCCCUUCAAUGUUUAUAUUUGUAUGUGCCAAUAGAAUAUGUAUAUAUUUGCAUCCAUGCGCCCAUAGCAUGAUGGUAUGGUUGAUGUGCAAAUAAAUACAAUUUCCAACAGCGCUACUUCCGAACUUGCAAAUACUAUGUAGACGUAUAUGCAAUUUCAACAUUUUGCAGGGUUAUAUAUGUACAAAAUACCCAACAUUAAUUUAUUGCUCUUUGAGAUCUGAAUCAACAUUAGUCCUCUUCGGUCAUGAUUUCAAAUGGAUUUCAGGGAGUUUGUUGACAUGCCAACUAUAAUUCAGGUGAAUAGUGGUAUUUGCGUUUAUUCUGUUCAAAUAUGUUAUUGAUUACAUAUUCUGUUUUAAAUAGUGGUAUUCAGGAUAUUUACAGUUUGGAAUGAUAUAAUAUCUUUUUACAAAUGGUUUCCAUGCUGCUGUAGACUCAUUGCUGUCUGUUGUAACAGUAGUCGGCACACCUAUAUACAAACCCGUUGGUAUAAACCUUUCAGCGUAGCAGCUCUAUAGAAGCAGUUUUGGCUGCUAAUACACAUCAUUAUUUUCAAAUUGAUUUGUCUUUUCCAUAAAAUAUUUGCAACUUGCUGAAAUUUAUAUCUAUGGAUUGGGAUGAAGUAGCUGGUUGCUAUCUUUAGUUGCUUUUCUGUACUUAUUUGUAUAGGAUAAGAAACUGGUUGUAUCUAUGAUAGCUUUUGUGCACUCUAUGGUAUAGGAUAAGCUAACUGCUGCUUUUUUUCAAAAUAUGAGACCAUCAAGUUAAGCUGCAGGAGAAGGCUUUGUUAUUAAAUAUAAAAAUUAUAUAAAUAUCGUUUUCUAACAGCUUAACCUUUUAGAGUACAACGGUUGUUUCACAUAGUAUCAGAGCAUGAGAUCCUGAGUUCGAGUCAUGUCAUUGCUUAGGAUACAUUUGUCUGGCGCAGAACAAUGUAUUAAAUAACAGGUUAAUUAAAAAAACGUUCCCACUUAGUUUUUAUGUUUUUCUAGAGGUGCAUAUGUUGUGAAAAUUCCACCAUUAGAGCUAGUUUAAACUAUAUCUUUCAAGUUGUGUUUUAAAGCUAGUUUAAAAUUCCCUUGCUCUGCAUUUUUCCUUAUUUUGAAGCGACUUUCUAAAGCUAGUUUUAAACUUUUGAUAGGAUUUAAUUCCCUUAUCUUUCAAAAGUGGGGAAAAAAACAGGCAGUGUAAAAUACGGUAAUCUUCGUGUAUGCCAAUUUUUGUUUACAAUAAUUAUUAUUAGGAUUUUUUAAGAUAAUACAUAAAAGUUGUAUCGUAAUUUUUUUU